rnacentral:rRNA from 1 species
UGUCCAGACUCCUACGGGAGGCAGCAGUGGGGAAUAUUGCACAAUGGGGGAAACCCUGAUGCAGCAACGCCGCGUGAGUGAGGAAGUAUUUCGGUAUGUAAGGCUCUAUCAGCAGGGAAUAGAAAAGAAGGUACCUGAAAAAGAAGCCCCGGCUAACUACGUGCCAGCAACCGCGGUAAUACGUAGGGGGCAAGCGUUAUCCGGAUUUACUGGGUGUAAAGGGGGCGUAGGCGGUUAGAUAAGUCUGAUGUGAAAGCCCGCAGCUUAACUGUGGGAUUGCAUUGGAAACUAUAGAACUAGAGUGUCGGAGAGGUAAGUGGAAUUCCUAGUGUAGCGGUGAAAUGCGUAGAUAUUAGGAGGAACACCAGUGGCGAAGGCGGCUUACUGGACGAUGACUGACGCUGAGGCUCGAAAGCGUGGGGAGCAAACAGGAUUAGAUACCCCAGUA